rnacentral:rRNA from 1 species
UACGGAGGGAGCUAGCGUUGUUCGGAAUUAUUGGGCGUAAAGGGCGCGUAGGCGGUUCGGCAAGUCUCUAGUGAAAUCUCAGGGCUCAACUCUGAGUCUGCUGGGGAAACUGCCGGGCUUGAGUGUGGGAGGGGAGAGUGGAAUUCCAGGUGUAGCGGUGAAAUGCGUAGAUAUCUGGAGGAACACCGGUGGCGAAGGCGACAUCCUGGACCGGUAUUGACGCUGAGGCGCGAAAGCCAGGGGAGCAAACGGG